UGAAUACGAGACGCUAAGGCGUCGAAGUAGUGUAUGCCAUACUUCCAAGAAAAGCUUGCACUGUCAUAAAUAAAGAAUGCCUGUACCAUAACCGACACAGGUGGGUAAGUAGAGUAUACUAAGGGGCGCGAGAUAACUCUCUCUAAGGAACUCGGCAAAAUAACUCCGUAACUUCGGGAGAAGGAGUGCCUUAUUCUUAAGGUUGCAAUAACAAGAUCCAAGCAACUGUUUAUCAAAAACACAGGUCUCCGCUAAGUCGUAAGACGAUGUAUGGGGGCUGACGCCUGCCCAGUGCCAGAAGGUUAAAGAAGUCGGUUAGCAAUUGCGAAGCUGGUAACUGAAGCCCUGGUGAACGGCGGCCGUAACAAUAACGGUCCUAAGGUAGCGAAAUUCCUUGUCGGGUAAGUUCCGACCCGCACGAAAGGCGUAAUGAUUUGGAUGCUGUCUCGGAGAGAGGCUCGGUGAAAUAGACUUGUCUGUGAAGAUGCGGACUACCUGCACCAGGACAGAAAGACCCUAUGAAGCUUUACUGUAACUUGAAAUUGAAAUUGGACUUUACUCGCGCAGUAUAGGUGGGAGGCGUUGAUUAUAAUCUCGUGGGAUUAUUGGAGCCAUCAGUGAGAUACCACUCUUGUAAUGUUAGAUUUCUAACUUUGAAUCAUUAUCUGGUCAAAGGACAGUUUCAGGCGGGCAGUUUGACUGGGGCGGUCGCCUCCUAAACGGUAACGGAGGCGUACAAAGGUUUCCUCUGAACGGUUAGAAAUCGUAUCUAGAGUGUAAAGGCAUAAGGAAGCUUGACUGUGAGACCUACAAGUCGAGCAGGGACGAAAGUCGGUCUUAGUGAUCUGACGGUACUGAGUGGAAAGGCCGUCACUCAACGGAUAAAAGUUACUCUAAGGAUAACAGGCUGAUCUCCCCCAAGAGUUCACAUCGACGGGGAGGUUUGGCACCUCGAUGUCGGCUCAUCGCAUCCUGGGGCGGUAGUACGUCCCAAGGGUUGGGCUGUUCGCCCAUGAAAGCGGUACGCGAGCUGGGUUCAGAACGUCGUGAGACAGUUCGGUCCAUAUCCGGUGUAGGCGCUAGAAUAUUGAGAGGAGCCUUCUUUAGUACGAGAGGACCGAGAAGGACAUACCUCUGGUGUACCAGUUAUCGUGCCAACGGUAAACGCUGGGUAGCUAUGUAUGGAGUGGAUAACCGCUGAAAGCAUCUAAGUGGGAAGCCCACCUCAAGAUAAGUA
rnacentral:rRNA from 1 species